CAGCAGCCGCGGUAAUACAGAGGGUGCGAGCGUUAAUCGGAUUUACUGGGCGUAAAGCGUGCGUAGGCGGCUUUUUAAGUCGGAUGUGAAAUCCCUGAGCUUAACUUAGGAAUUGCAUUCGAUACUGGGAAGCUAGAGUAUGGGAGAGGAUGGUAGAAUUCCAGGUGUAGCGGUAAAAUGCGUAGAGAUCUGGAGGAAUACCGAUGGCGAAGGCAGCCAUCUGGCCUAAUACUGACGCUGAGGUACGAAAGCAUGGGGAGCAAACAGGAUUAGAUACCCGGGUAGUCCCUGUCUCUUAUAC
rnacentral:rRNA from 1 species